ACUAGUGAUUGGGGCACGGGGGGACGGGGUGCAGCAGGCGCGAAACCUUGUCAAUGCACGCAAGUGUGAACAGGGAAUCCCGAGUGCUCAUGCAAUGCAUGGGCUUUUGCCAAGGGCUAAAACCUUGGCGAAUAAGCGGUGGGUAAGACUGGUGCCAGCAUCCGCGGUAACACCAGCGCCGCAAGUGGGAAUCGUGUAUUUGGCCUAAAGCGUCCGUAGCCGGUUUGGCAAAUUUUCUGUGAAAUUGUCCAGCUUAACUGGACAGCGUGCAGGGAACACUACCAAACUUGGAACCGGGAGGGGUGCAGAGUAUUCGAGGGGAAGCGGUAAAAUGCUAUAAUCCCUCGAGGACUACCUAUGGCGAAGGCACUGCACCAGCACGGAUUCGACGGUGAGGGACGAAAGCCAGGGGAGCGAUCCGGAUUAGAUACCCGAGUAGUCCUGGCUGUAAACUCUGCGAGCUAGGUGUUGCACAUUCCACGUGAAUGUGCAGUAUCGUAGUGAAGACGUUUAGCUCGCCGCCUGGGAAGUAUGGUCGCAAGGCUGAAACUUAAAGGAAUUGGCGGGGGAGCACUACAAGGGGUGCGGCGUGCGGUUUAAUCUAAUUCAACGCAGAGAACCUCACUAGGAGCGACGGCAGGAUGAAGGUCAGGUUGAAGGCCUUACCAGACAAGCCGAGAGGUGGUGCAUGGCCGUCGUCAGCUCGUGCCGUAAGGUGUCCUGUUAAGUCAGGCAACGAGCAAGACCUGCAUCCAUAAUUGCUAACGGCAUCAUCGAUGGACCGAGCACAUUAUGGGAACUGCCCUGGAAACAGGGAGGAAGGCGCAGGCUACGAUAGGUCUGUAUGCCCCGAAUCUCCUAGGCUACACGCGCGCAACAAUGGUAGGGACAAUGGGCUACGACCCCGAAAGGGGAAGUUAAUCCUCGAAACCCUACCUCAGUAUAGAUUGAGGAUUGGAACUCAUCCUCAUGACAAUGGAAUCCCUAGUAAUCAGACGUUAUCAUCGUCUGGUGAAUAUGUCCCUGCUCCUUGCACGAAUUCGCCGAAUCCCGCG
rnacentral:rRNA from 1 species